rnacentral:lncRNA from 1 species
CCACUGAGCAAGGCUUGGGAUAGAACCCGCAACCUCAUGGUUCCUAGUUGGAUUCGUUAGCCACUGAGCCAUGACAGGGAACUCCGUGACUUUUGUAAUUUUAAUAAAUGAAAUAAAAUUCAGUAUAAUUUUAAAAUAAAAUUGUUUUCAUUUUUAAUGCUUUUAAGAUUUCAAUUUUGGGAGCAUGUUUUGCAAUGUGAUGCUGUACUAGUACUGGUGCUGUACUUUAUAAAUAAAGGUACACAUACUUGGGGGUGUGCAGAAUUUUUUGUAUGCUUGAUCUGAAUAGUUUAAAGACCCCUGUCUUAAAGUACUUUCUUAGAGGGGGUGAUGGUGGUGUGAGUUUGUCUUAGUAGAAGCAACUACUAAGCCUUAAGAAAAAUGGCAUAUUUAAAAAUUGAAAUCAGUUAACACUUUUGUGGUUGGACAAAUUGAAAAAUGUCACCAGAUUUAUGCUUAGAUGCCCAAAGGAGAGUCAUUUGGAAGCUCUUUGAUAUCUCUGUAAAACAUCCAAAAAAGCAGUAAUGCUGCUUGGGAGAGUAACUCAGAACCCUUUGUUGCAAAGACCUGGAGGUUUACAAGAAGACCUCAUUCCUUAGUUACUGGUUGCUUUGGAUUCACAGGAUAUUUGUCACGUGUACUGUGCCUCUGUACACAAAGAGUUGGUCAAAGGAUACAAAUUUCUAGGCAUAAGAUGAAUAAGUUCUGGGGAUCUAAUGUAUAGCAUGGUGAUUAUAGUUAACAAUACUGUAUUAUAUACUUGAAAGUUGCUAAGGAAUUAAGUAUUAUAUGUUUUCAUGCCCUCACCUCCCCCAAAAGUUUAACUAUGUGAGGUGAUGGAGGUGUCAACUAACCCUUUUGUGGUAAUCAGCUUCACAAUAUGUACAUAUAUCAGAUCAUCAUACUGCACACUUUAAACUCAUAGAAUGCUACAUGUCAAUUAUAUCUCAAUAAACUUGGGGGGAAAGUGGGUGGAGAAGGGCAAAUAUCAAUAGAAGGUGAGAACCAAGUACUUUCCCAGGAAAUCCCUCAUGGGAGCAUUAGCAUCCUGGGCUCCUGGGUUCUUUUGUGGGGUGGAAGGCUCUGGAAGACACAGCCCAAACUGGUAGCUAUGGAAAGAGGUGGUCCCAGCUGCUGGAUUUAUUGCUCUGGAAAUCAGUGGUGGGCAUCCAUGGGAGGGUUACAUGAUUGAUUCCAGUGCCCAGAGUGACAGGCAAACACUUAUCACAGCUAGAUUCCCCCACCACUCUUCUGGGCUGGAGCUGCAGUGCCCUCACAACUGCAGCAGGAGAGGAGCCUGACAGCACGGGUGGCAGGAGGCUUGGCAGCCUCACGGAAUGUCUGCAAAUACCUUUCAUUUAUGCAGUUUGGCAGUGCAGUAGUGCAUGAAGGCAGCAUCCUGGGUUAGCCUGGGAAAUACUGGCCUUGGAAGCAGACUUCUUAGGUUGGAAUCUUGAGACCCAGGCUUAAAACAAUGUGGAAAGGGGCAUAGCAUUUCCAGAAACCCUUCUCUUUUGCUGGCCAACAGAUGGUGGCUCUAAAUCUGCAGUGCCGUCAGGUUAGAAAAGAAGAAAGUAUUUAGAGCACCAGUAGAGCCAUUAUUUGAAUAGUAUGGAACAUAAUGGUUUCUUUGGUAACCAAGCCAGAGAGACACCCACACAAAGUUAGAAUGCAUUGGGCUCAUUUCUGUUCCCCACCCCACCCCCCAAUCCAACAAGAUUAAAAUAGUAUACAGAGAAAAAAUGAGAUGCAGCAGCAUUUCAUGCAAGAGGGGAUUUGUUCCCUAUGAGGAUAUAUUAAUGACCUAUGUUUUAUCUUACGGACAACCAGACAUAGCAGUUUCUAGCUAUGAAACUGUUUUGAUGGUCAUUCAGAUUGUUUACUCUCUGCCCAGACUUCAGCACUGACAUGUCGAUAGGACACUGAGAAAUAUGAGACAGGGGAAUAUGAGAAAUACUUAACUCGUUUUACACUGCUCAUGGUCUUAGCACUAGCCAGGUGAAGGCAGCACAUAAGAGGCAAAACCAAUGAGUCUGAAAGGAAACCAUUUGCCAUUCAAGAACAAUUUCUUUUCAGCUCUAUGAGUAAUUUCUCUUCAGGUUGAUUAAGUUCCAAAUCACUCCUUUGGGUGAGAGUUUAAAAGUGUCAGAUAACAGGAGUCACAUGCAAGGAGUUGAAAGGAAAAGACCCUCCUAGAUUCAUGGCUCUGUCCAACAGAAUUUUCCUUGAUGAUGGAAAUGUUCUAAAUCCGCACUGUCCAAUGAGGAAGCCACUGUACAUGAUGCUAUUUACAGUUAAUAUAUUAAAUUAAAAUUAAAUUUAAAAUUUGUUCCUUGGAUUAAGUUAAAUGGCCAUAUGUGACUAAUGGCUCUUGGAUUAGGGAGUACUGUUAGAAGUUCAGAAAAAAGGAUGAUUUUCAUUAUUGAAAAAUCACCAAAUAGCGAUUUUGUCUUUAAUGUUUCACUUUACUGUUUUUUCCUAGUGUCAGCCUUGCUUGUCUGGAAGUCACCCCAUGGGUUACUAGAAGCAAUGUUUUACUUAACAGUUCUAAUAAUAGUGUAUCUAAGGGGCUCUGAGCACUCCACAAACAUCAUCUCAUUAAUUCCUCCGAACUCCCAAUGGGACAAGUGAGGAAUACAGAUAAUUAUGUUUAAUUUUAUAAAAGAGGAAAACAAACACUAGUCUAAAAUGUAAAUUAUUAGCAGUGAGGCCCUUCUGGAAUCCCACUGUUGACUUCCUUUGCUUUCUUUGUCCUUUAUAGCAAGAACUUAGUGUUUUCUCAUGUCAGGAAAAAGACAUUCCUCAAACAUGUUAGGAUUAAAUGGGAAAAAAAAACCCCUGCCAUAUCCAGUUAUAUAUAGAAUAUUAUUUGAGUGACAUUAGGUUAAAACAGCUGAUUAUUUUUUGCCAUCUUUUAUUCCCACUGUAAGACUUUGGACUGUACUUCUGAAUAACCAAGGAUAAUUAGAUUAUGCUAUUCGACUAGUGUAGCAAACCUUCCUCAACUUUUGUUCGUCUUCCUUCAUGCUUCUUGCAGAAGUAUAAUAUACUGUUAUUUUAAAAAUAUAUUUCUUCAUACAUGAUUCUUAUGAGAGUGACCUAGAAGCAUAGCGAUAUGGUCACCAAAGAUUCAUAGGAACUCUUGACCUCCAUGAAACCUCUUUAUUCAUAGCAUGGAUAUUUGUCAAGACUCUAAAAAAAAUGAGUCAAUAAGUAUGCUUGGAACUGUGCAUACAGUCAACAAACCACAAAAUUCCAGCACUUAUGUUUAAGGAGCUGACAGAUAUUAAUCAAAUAUUUAAGACAUUGUAUAUGCAAUUUCCUCUAUAGCUGGUGCCAUGGAUGAGGCUUAUAAUAGGGAGAGUUGAUGCAGUCAGGGAGGCCAGGAAUGGUUUGUCUAGAAUAGGGAUCAAGAGCUAGAGGAUAAGUAGGAAUUGACUAGGUGAAAGAUAAGAUGAAGAGAGCAUUCUAGUUAGAGGGAGCAGCAUGUGCCAAGUCUCUGAGUUAACAUGGAGCAUGGUGAGAAGGAGGGACUGAAAGAAGGCUGUCAUUGGGGAAACACACAGAGAAAAAGUGGGUUGAGUGCAAGAUAGGGUUGGAGAGGUUGGCAGAAGUUAGACCAAGCAGUAACUGCAGGCUAGUUUAAGGAGUUAUAUUUUCACCUUGUGAGCAAUGGAUGCCAUUGAAGGGUUCUUGGUGGGCGUGGCAACUCAUGACAGAAUUACAUUUUCAAAAGAUCACAUUGGUUGAUUGUGGUGAGUAGGGAACAGUUUGGAAGGUGGUCAUAUCAGGAGGUGGUAUAGAGCUGGUUUCCAUUUAUUUUUUGCACCUGGAUUUAUUCUGAGGCUAUUAGGCAGUCUCAGGACUUGCACUUAACCAUAUUUUUCAUGUAUUGCAUGAAGUCUUUUAGCCUAAUGGGAUGCCUUUACUCUUCUGACAGAGCUAACCACAGCAAUGGUGGGUGAGGGAGUGAGGAGGUUCUGGUCUACGGUGUUGCAGUAAUACCAUAUGUGAUUGAUGAUUUUAGCAUCUUCUUUUUCCUUCUUUGUUGCUAGUUUUUGAUAGAAAAGGUAAAUACCAUUAUUUUUCUUUUUUACUUAGAUGUCUUGAAUCCUUCAACGUAUGCUGAUUUGAAAGUACUAUUUCAAAUUCCUAUCCUGCAGGGUUUUUGUCUUACUGUGUUCCAGGCUUUUGAAACCAACUGCAAAUUUUAAUACAAGGGUUUCUGGGUUCAUGCUUGAAAUAUGAUAAUUUCAUGUGAUUUAUAAUAAAAAAGUAAAAAGAUCUUAAGGUUCUAUUGUACUUUUUUGUAUGUCUAUUACAGUACUUGUUCAUUCUAAUUGGCAUUGCAGUUAUUUACACGCGCACAUUAAGCUCUUUCUAUAGCCCCACUCUCCUUCCCUUUCACCUCCUACUCAUCCUUCAGAUUUCAUGUUAUCACCUUUUCAGGGAAGGAUUCCCUGAUCUUUCUACAUAGGAAUCUUCUCUAUUUUAUGUGUUUUUUUGUGGCACUGUGAUCACUUACACUAACUCAUCUGCUAUUUGACCACUGUCUGCCUGCUGGUUGGGGAAGACGCUGGAGGCUUGGAUGCUGCCCUUGACUAUACUCACCAUUGGGUCCACUGCACUGAUAAUGUGCCUGCCACAGAGACACUCACUCAGUGUUUGCUAAUGAAUAAAUAACUACACUUACAUGAAUGUACUUGAGGUCAGGGAAUUUUCACUUCUUGGUUGUCUUGUCUAUUUUACCCAACAGCUGAAGAAUUGAUGUAAGCUUACAGCAGGCUCCUAGGAAACCAGGCCCCCAUCUCACCUUGGUGCAUAGUGGUUUUGGCAGCCUCUGGCAGCUACUGCAGCCCUGGGUGGCUCCUGUGGUCCCAGGUAGCAUCCUUGGAACUAGGCUUCUGAUGGGUUCCUGUGAACCCAGGCACCUAGCUCACCCUGGCACCUGCAGACUCCAGUGGUCCUAGGCAGCUCUUAUAGCCCUGGGUUCCUGAUGGGCUUUUGAAAAUUCAAGCUUCUGCAUAAACCCUGCAGCACCAUGCUCCCAGUGGAUUUCUGAGAACCCAGUCUCCCAGCUUGUUUCUAGCACUGGCUGGUUGCCAUAGCCUCAGGCAGCUUCCAUGCCACCAGGCUCUUGGCAUGUCCCUGCACUAGCCAACUCCUGUGGCCUGUGCAGUUCCCCAGGUUCUCAUUCAGCUACAGUAAACCCAGGAUCUAGGCUCCUGGGCAGGCCUAGCACCAAGUCUAUUCCAUGGACCAAGUCAUCAGGCUGGUCCCUCUGGACCCAGGCAAUAAACCUGCCUGCUCAAGGACUUCAGCAGCAAGCAUACCCACCUAAACCACCUGAUGGCCCACCCAGAAUCAAUCCCUAGACAGGAUGACUGGUGAAGGGCUUUCCCUGCCAAGCCAGUCUGUAAAGAUUGGAAGAGUUAUUUACUUUCUCAAAUUUAUAGACACCAGUGCAGAGCCACAAGGAUCAUGAAUAACCUAGGAACCAUGACAUGACCAAAGGAAACUAGUAAAACUCUAAUGACUGAUCCCAAAGAAAUGGAAAUAUGUCGACUGUCUGACAAAUAAUUCAGAAUUAUUCUCUUAAAGAAAUUCAGUGAACUGUAAGAAGACAAAGAUAGACAGCCAAAUGAUUUUAGGAAAACAAUGCAUGAACAAAAUGAGAAGUUGAACAAGAAAUAGAAAUGAUUAAAAAUAACCAAACUGAAAUUCUAGAGUUGAAGAAAAUAGUGACUGAACUGUAGAAUUCAGUGGAGAGAUUCAUGAGCAGACUUGACCAAGCAGAAGAAUUAGUCAGCUUGAAGACAGAUCAUUUCAAAUCAUCCAGCAGAUAAGCAAAAAGGAGAAAAAGAAUGAAAAAUAGUGAAGGUAGCCUAUGUGAAUUAAGGGACACUAUUAAAAGAAACAAUCUAUGCAUUAUUGUAGUCCCAGAAGGAGUAGAGAAAGUGGCAGAAAGCUUAUUUAACAAAUAAUGGCUAAGAACUUCUCAAAUAUGAGGAGCGAUUUGGACAUUCAAUUUCAUAAAGCUAAUAGAUGACCCCGAAAAUUCAACCCAAAAUGAUCCUUUCCAAGACACAUAUAAUAAAACUAUCUAAACUCAGGCAAAUAGAGAAUUUUAAAACAAGCAAGAGACAAAAAAAAAAAAUCUCACACAUAAGGGAAUCCCUAUAACGUUGUCAAUGGAUUUCUCAGCAGAACCUUGCAGGCUAGGAGAGAAUGGGAUGGUAAAUUCAAAGUGCUGAAGAGAAAAGCUACCAACCAAGAACAGUUCACCUGCAAAGCUGUCUUUCAAGAAUGGAGGAGCGAUAAAGACUUCCCCAAUCAAGCAAAAGUUAAGGGAGUUUACCACCACUAGAACUGCCUUACAAAUAAUGCUGAAAGGAAUUCUUCAAGCUGAAAUGAAAGGGCACUAAUUAGUAAUAUGAAAAUUAUGUGAAACUAUACAUGCUGGUAUUAUAUCUAGUCACUUAUGAUGGACCAUGAUAAUGUGAGAAAAAGAAUGUAUAUAUAUGUAUGUGUGACUGGGUCACCUCACUGUACAGUAGAAAAUUGACAGAA